CCUACGGGCGGCUGCAGUGGGGAAUAUUGCACAAUGGGGGGAACCCUGAUGCAGCAAUGCCGCGUGAAGGAUGAAGGUUUUCGGAUUGUAAACUUCUUUUGUACGGGACGAAGAACGUGACGGUACCGUACGAAUAAGCCACGGCUAACUACGUGCCAGCAGCCGCUGUAAUACGGAGGUGGCAAGCGUUAUGCGGAUUUACUGGGUGUAAAGGGCGAGUAGGCGGGAUUGCAAGGCAGAUGGUAAAACUAUGGGCUCAAACGAUAGAGUGCAUUUGAAACUGGAGUUCUUGAGUGAGGGAGAGGCAGGCGGAAUUCGUGGUGUAGCGGUGGAAUGCGUAGAUAUCGGGAGGAACACCAGUGGCGAAGGCGGCCUGCUGGACAUUAACUGACGCUGAGGCGCGAAAGCGUGGGGAGCAAACAGGAUUAGAUACCCGGGUAGUC
rnacentral:rRNA from 1 species